UACGGAGGAUGCGAGCGUCAUCCGGAUUUAUUGGGUUUAAAGGGUGCGUAGGCGGAUCGUUAAGUCAGUGGUCAAAUUGAGGGGCUCAACCCCUUCCCGCCAUUGAAACUGGCGAUCUUGAGUGGAAGAGAAGUAUGCGGAAUGCGUGGUGUAGCGGUGAAAUGCAUAGAUAUCACGCAGAACCCCGAUUGCGAAGGCAGCAUGCCGGCUUCCGACUGACGCUAAAGCACGAAAGCGUGGGGAUCGAACAGG
rnacentral:rRNA from 1 species